AGUACCCCCUCCACCGUCCUUUACUACGCAGCACAACGAAGCGAGAGAGAAGUAUUUUUCUCUCCUUCUCUCUCUCUCUCUUUCUCUCUCUGAAGUUUCGAAAAAUCGUUUUCUUAUGAAUAAUAAGUGUCAUCUACAUGUGUGUGUAAAAAUAUUAUAAUAAUAACUUAUACAUAUUUAUAAAUUUGUAAAAAUAAUGCGCGACUCAGCAGUGGUUUUAUCGAUAGUUGAAAAAAAGAGUUAAAUAUAUCAACACAUACCAUGUCGCCUGAGCCUACACAUGAACCUAUUCAGGAAAAUCUGACAAUUUCCAAUGUACUUCUGGAUACAAGAAUGGUGAAUGAUGAAGAGGAUAGUGAUGACGAGGAUAUGGGAAUGGCAGGAUAUGUGCCGUUGUCUCAGGUAUCUACUGAUGCCGAUCCUAUUUUGGAGAGAGAAGAGAAUGAUGAAUGGUUAUCUGAAUUUGACGAAUCUACUCAAAUAUCAUCUGCUCAUACAAGUGAGCCUCAGCAAAGUUGUUCUUCAGAGAUAUUGCAAGUCUGGUCAUGUUCGCACAAUCGUUCUGAUAUUGACUUAGAUGCAACUAAGAUCAAAGAAGUUAAAUCUGUAAUGGCAUCCAUUACUCUUCCUGAAACUUCAAUUCCACAAUGGGCGUCUACUAUCUCAGAAGAGCAGUGGAAGGAGCAACUUCUCGUUCGCAUUAAACAGAUGCAAAACAAAGAGCCAUAGUUUUUAAGUUGCAGUUAUUAUCAUCGGGUUACGACAUAAAAGUCCAUCAUAUAUGUAAUAUCCAUUGAAGAAGACACAAUACGAUAUUCUAUAACUCAAACUCUGCAUCAAUGGUAGCAGCUUUAAUUGGAUUGAGUUUCUUUCGCAAAGCAGCAACAUCGUCUUCUAUUUUUAUCAAUUUCCGAUAUUUCUAAAAAGAAAUAAAUAUAAAUCAUGUAACCUGGAAUGCACAACAUCGAGGAGAGACCUGCAAGCCAUCCUAACAAGUGGCUCCACCAUGGAAAUUCGUAUGUGAGAUAUUUCACAGGAACAAACUUGAUGAUAUUAAAGAUGAAAACGCCCUAUAUAUACAAAGGGUAAUAAAGUAAUAUGCAUAUGAAUUAUCCGAAAUCUCACGAGAAAUUAAAGACGUCUCACCACACAAAUGGCAGGCGUGGUAAAUGUCCAGCAUAUCUUCCACCAGAAGCAAGGAUAAUAGCCUAUCAUGUCACGUAUACCAUUAUAAAAUCGAUCUACUCCAAAUGCCCACGACACUGAGAUGCAUUCAAAGAACAUCAGAAAUAGCAGACAAAAUCCGCUCACAGCAUAUGUAUCUAGGAGUUGAAACACGUACAUUCCGCCCUAAUAAAAGAUUUAUUUUAAAAAUGCAGAAUUAAAUAAGAUAUACAAAAUAGAGACAUUUUGUAACAAUUAUUAUCAUUAAAUAGUCCUUACAUAUA